UGUACCUAAUGUUUCAGUUGUGGUUUUCAAGAGGUUUCUCACUGUCUUCUUUUGUCUUUUUGGAAUUCUGUCCUGGAACUUCCAUAUUAGGUACAAAAAGAUUUGGACCCUGGAUGAUGAGAGGCCACAUGGAGGAAAAUAAGGUGACUUCAGCUACUCACAAGCAAUAGUUGUUGUGCCUGUGGAGGUCUGGAUAUCCCCAGAUGCUGAAGUUACAGUUGGCCAACAUGGGGAACCAAACUCAGGCCUGUAGGAGGAACUGCAAGUGCUGAGUCAGCUCUCCAGCCCCUUGAAGCCAAACUUUCUGUUUCUAUAGAAACACUAUUACAUAUAUUACAAGUCAUUGACCAUUGGUGAUCAGUUCAACCUGAAGCCCAUUCCUUUUCCUCAAGAGAGUUGGAGUAGAGCUGAAAUCUCCAAAUUCAGAAACCACUGACUGAAUCCUAAAAAUACGAACAGAAAAUACCCUGCGUCCGUUGAAGCCAACAAUUUGGUGUCGGGAGCGGG